AGAAAAGGGAGAGGAAGAGGACGAGGAAGAAGAAAUGGGGGAUGAGAGAAGAAGAGGAGGAGGCUGUUUCUCUACUGUUCCUGGCAGUGGUUGUUUCCCACAAAGGCCCAAAUACAAGCCCCCUGGUGCCCCCGGCUGUCCCUGGCUCAUGGGCGGAGGGUCACUCUAUCAUCCAAGUCACCACGCUCCAGUUGUUGAAUACUCACAAAUGUCCACCACUACGCCAGCCCCACAAUAGCCAGGGCUCCGGGGAGCCCCACUCGCCACAUCUUCCAUCACCUUGAAAACACCACCUCUGACAGCCAGGCAGGCUACAGUGCACCCACUGUGUGCAGAGAGCUGUUCGGGGGGACACAGACUCAUUCCCCUGCAGGAAGCACCCAUCAACUGCACUCAGAUACAACAGGCAGACAGCCACAACUCGGACAGGUCCCACUUCUUUCCUGCACAGUCCCUUCCAGAGCAAUCUUUGAGCAUGCUGAAAUGUUUUCACACUUUCGUGAUUUGGACAAUGUGAUCGAAUCCACCGAGAACCACCGCAUGUACUAUCCUGAGACAUUAGUUACCCUAGAGUGGUAAGGUCUGUCUUCCCACAGGACCUCAGAGAACGAACUAGUCCUUCCCCUCCAGGAGGACGGAUGGCCCUUCAAGUAUCUGAAGAUUCUCCUUCUCCAGGUUCACUCCUGGGGGACAGUUGUGCCGCAGUGCUCCGAGCCCUUCAGUACUUCAGAUGCUAUCGCUAGCUGCUCUCGUGCUGUCUGUCUGUCCUGCCUCCUCCUUCCUGCCUUCAAAAAGUCCAACCCAUAGGAGAAUUAAGACUGAAAAAGUGAACAAGCCAGGUGAAGGGUGCCCAUCAGCAACCCCAGAACUCAGGAGACUGAUGUGAGGGUCGGGCCAGCCUGGGGUACAUGAGGAGGCUGUCUAGAACAGAUGGCUGCACAUGGCCCACCUUGGAUAAACUGUGCUUUACUGUUAAAUGCUUUGCUUCAGACCAGGCAGAAGACAGCCAAGGCUCCCACAUGGGGAAGAGCCAAGCCACAGCAGCUCCAUCGUGUCCCCUCCAUCCUGUUCUUUCUGCACACUGAGAGCCCAGCAGACACAUCAAUGCUUCUCCAAGUCGAUCUGGGUCCUAGGAACUGGAUGGGGGAGGGUCCUGCCCACCUUCAUUUUCGUUCAUUUUUCUAUAUUAGGGACGAGAUGAUCUAUUUUUAGUGCAUGGCUGGUGUAAGUCAGGGGUUGCUAUAGCGACAGUAAGUGGCUGCAAACCCAGUGCUGCUCCGGUUCCUAGUCACAGAGAAAUCCUGACCGAGAUGCAGCCCUAGAGGGUGGAGCAGCCCUCUUCUUGGGGGCUCCCACUUCUGUCCUCAUGGUGUACCCUGGGCAGGCUGGGCCUGAGUGUUGCAUAGGCAGUGGAGACCGUACAAACCAGGAACUGAGGGAACAGCUGGAGAGCUGACUGGGAAUGGAUGCCAAGCUCAAUUACAGGAUGGUCGUGGACCCAUCCCCUGAAACUGCGAGCCAGCCGGUACUAAACACUUUAGUUCACAAUUGCCUCGGCCAUGACGUCUCUUCAUGACAAUGGAAAGGAAACCAAGACACCAUCUAUCAUCUGUCUGUCUCCAUGCUGCCCGCCUGUCUGUUCACUCUCUAUGCAUACCUAUCCAUACAUUUUACUAUUGCACCGGUUAGUUCUUGUUUUUGUCAACGUGACACAAGCUAGAGUCAUCUGGGAAGAAGAACUUCAGUUGAGAAAAACGUCUCCAUCAUAUGGGCCCACGACAAGUCUGUGGGGCAUUUUCUUGUUUAGUGAUCAAAGUGGGAGGGCUCAGGCCACUGUGGUUGGUGCUAUCCCUGGGCAGGUGGUCCUCAGUUGUAUAAGAAAGCAGACUCAGCAAGUCGUGAUGAGCAAGUCAGUACACAGCACUCUUCCAUGGCCUCUGCCUCAGUCUCGGCUCAAGAUUCCUGCCCUGAGUUCCCUCAGUAAUGGACCGUGGUUAAGACACGUAAGUCAAAUAAACCCUUUCCUGCUUUUGGUCAUAAUGCUGACCACAGCAAUAAAAACCACACUAGGACAGCUAUCAGUGUCUAUCAUAUCAUAAAAAUCCAUCCAUCCAUCCAUCCGUCCGUCCAUCCAUCCAUGAUUCAUUCAUCUAUAUACCUGCCAUCUACUUACAUACAUACAUUACAUACAAAAUAAAAUGCUGGGCGACAGAAAUGCAUCUGGGUGAGCAUGUGCUUAUUUGUAUUAUUCUGAAGCUCCUGAGAGUCCCUCAAAGACCCAUGCUGGGCCUCCCCGUCACCGAGAUUGCCUCCGAGAACUUCUCUCACAGAAGCAGGAAGAAGAGCACUUCACUCCUGCCCACAAGAGCAGCAACUCUGAAUUCCGCAGCCAAGGGCUCUUUCUGGCUUGACUCCCAGCAAACUGAAGGUUCCAGGGAAGAAGUGUGGAUUAAUUCUCUAAAGAGCCUGCCUUUGUGUAAGACCUUCUAGAUGGUCUGCCACUUGCUGAGUGGGGGCAUCACAGCCUUAUGGUGAGAUGGGUUCAAAAGAACAAGGUUCACUGCGUGGCUUGGCAAACACCUGUGAUCUGAGUCCAUCUGAGACAGGAAUGAAUCGGAUAAUGAGACCCUAUCUGAAAGCAAUCAAUAAAAGGCCAAGGCUGUAUUGGGUGGUGUCUGGCCCCCAAUGGCAGUCAUCUAUUACUAGGUUUUGCCUCUGACCUGGAAUUUUUGUGACUGCUGGAUAAGACCCUAAAAUAUAUGCUGGGCUGUUGGACCUCUUGCUCACCCCUUCCAACCUCGAGGCUAGGAAUGGGCGGGUACCUGCUUCCAAAAGAAAGUGUCUCCACCCAGCUGAAGACUGCAUUAAAGUCCUAGAGGAGAGAUUCCCUAUCUCUCUGUAGCCCAACUCCUGGACAGACCGGCCACCUUUCUUUUGGGACUGUAAAAGCCUCCGUCAUCCCUCUGGGGACCAAUGCCAUUCUGGGGUAACCUGCGUCUGUGUUCCACACCAUGAUGUCUCCUGUUUGUGCUCAGAAUAAACUAUUCUCUUAUUUGAUAA
rnacentral:sRNA from 1 species